rnacentral:lncRNA from 1 species
UUGGUGUGGGUCUCGCUUGUACCUGGUAUGGGGGGCAUUUGGGGGGGGUCUGUUUGAGGAGAGAAGGUGUUACUUAUUGUCGUGUGUAUCUACGGAUGUGGGAAAGAGUUUUGAGAAAAGACGGGAGGGUUGUUUUGUGGGAAGGGGGGGGCCUGCCUUGUGUUAGGCCUGGAGAUCAUUUAUAAAGGGUGAAGAAUUUUUCUGGGGUCUGGGCUGGAAGAUGGAGGGGGAAGGCUGGGAGCAGUGUUGGGAGGGGGAUCUUCCUGGUGCUCGAGGGGGGCAUGUGGAGCUGGAAAGGAAGGGUGACCAGGAUGUGGUGGUUUUCCUGGGGUUUCAGUGGGGGCAGGGUUGUGAAUGCUGAGGCCGGGUUGUGUAGAUACAGGGCUGCCCUGUGGGAUUUGGAGCUGCUGGGGCUGGAAGGGGAGAGCUGAUGAAGUCUGGCCUGGCCAGGGCAGCGGCUAAAGGAAGUACUGAUGGUGCUGAGUGACCUGCAGGAGGGCCUGGGGGAGGGAGUGGUGUGCUUACUGGGAACGGCUGUGGUUUGCUGCUUCGGGCAUGCUUUAGUGGGUGUUCUGUUGGAGUAUACGUCGCACAUUUAUGGCGAUUCUGAGUGUGAGGGCAGACUUCUGCCAGGCCCAGCACAGCAUCCUGGCUGACAAGUGAGCUGAGUGCAGGGGGUUCUACGUGCCAUAAUUACUUUGCCUUGAAGACUCCAGACACAGCGAACACACUCAAAUAUAUGGGAUAUCUUCUGCACAUUGGAAGCAUAUUCCUUUUACUGACUCUAGCAAAACUAAGCAUCAAGAAAACAAAGUGGAGAGAAAAUCUGCCCUUACUUUUUUGCCUCACCAGUGCCUAAAUGUAGAACAGGCUGCCUAGUCUUGUGUGUAGUCAGAAUUUUUGGAGUCUGAAGGAUACCACCUGCAGUAAUUGAGGCUGAAGUUGAAUUCAAACAGAUUCUGAAGCAAACCUGCUUUUCUAGAAGCAAAUUCUUUAAGGAACAAACACGUCAAAGCAAGCUCUGAUCAAUCCCAGGCAUUUUAGUGGUCUUUUUAAUGUUUUCUGCUGUGAAACGUUUCCAAGGUUAUUGAUUUUUUUUUUUUUUAAUAUUUUUUUUGGCCCCUUACACAUUUUGUU